GCCUGCCCAGUGACCAUGUGUUCAACGGCCGCGGUAUUCUGACCGCGCGAAGGUAGCGUAAUCACUUGUUUUUUAAUUGAAGACUAGUAUGAACGGCCGCACGAGGACCUAACUGUCUCCUUUGUCCAAUCAGUGAAACUGAUCUCCUCGUGCAGAAGCGAGGAUUUUACCAUAAGACGAGAAGACCCUAUGGAGCUUUAAACUUUUAUUAACUAUUUUCUUCAUUCCUCUAAGGAACUAAUAACUAAUCUAAUCUUCUUAAUAAAAGUUUUGGGUUGGGGCGACCAUGGAGAAAAAAAAAUCCUCCCUGAUGACUACCUAACUAAGAGCCACAGCUCCAAGUAUUAAGACACUUAACUCCUAUUGACCCAUUUUAUGAUCAACGAACCAAGUUACCCUAGGGAUAACAGCGCAAUCCAUUUCAAGAGUCCCUAUCGACAAAUGGGUUUACGACCUCGAUGUUGGAUCAGGGCAUCCUAGUGGUGCAACCGCUACUAAAGGUUCGUUUGUUCAACGAUUAAAGCCCUACGUGAUCU
rnacentral:rRNA from 1 species